CCUCCAGAAAACAGAACACACCCACCAGCAAGGAUUCGUCGUUCCAGCUCCCAAAGAAAUGUGCAGAGAACAGCCCCCCAGGCCAGUGAGGUACCAGGAUCCAAGAGCAUCUGAGCCAGAAUAACGUCCCGCUAAAGACGUCCGCAUCGUCCUGGCCCGUGACUCUGGUACAACACACAGCAAAGGGACCUGGCAGAGGCAGGUCCAGCCAUGCUCUGAGUCCUCCAGCGUUUCCACCCCGGCCCACCCAGCCUCCUGUUCCAGCUGCAACCCCUGUACCAGGAGCAGCCCUGAGCGCCAGUCCCUGUUCACAGACUCUGGGACCUUAGGAGUCAUCCACCUUCAGCCUGGUCGCUGGUCACUGCCUCCCAAAUGUGCGUGGACCCCAGCCGCUGGCCCCUGGGUCUUCACGUCCAUAAAUGGCCUUCCUAGGGUCAAGACCACGCUUUCCUACAAACUCUGAAUUUACCUCCCUGAUCCAAGAGUCUCUGUUGCCUUGAUUAGGAAAUCUCUACCCUAUCCCAGCCCGUCAGCACCCACCCCGGCCUCUGACAAAGCCCUGGACCAGGCAGGAGCCCUCCCCUGCCGCCUCCGUGGGACGGGAUGUGUAUGCAUUCCGUGAGCGUGAGAAGAUUCACGUUCACACUCGCAAUGAUUCCCUUCAAGCCGACCCCUCAUCCCAGCUGAGGUCUUUCUUCACUCGCCUUUACCAGCCGUGUGAGCUCAGCAACCUCUCCAGGCCUCAGCAUCUCUGCCUGUGAAAUGGGGCCAACGAGAGCCCCCACCCCACGGGGUCGUUGUGCGGAUUAAACACCGCGGUGCCAGCAGACGCCUCACUGCUCUGCGCGCCACAAGUCCGGGAAAU